rnacentral:piRNA from 1 species
UCUUGGCUCCUGGCCGAUACCUUAGUGCUUC